UUAAGCGACUAAGCGUACACGGUGGAUGCCCUGGCAGUCAGAGGCGAUGAAGGACGUGCUAAUCUGCGAAAAGCGUCGGUAAGGUGAUAUGAACCGUUAUAACCGGCGAUGUCCGAAUGGGGAAACCCAGUGUGAUUCGUCACACUAUCGUUAACUGAAUACAUAGGUUAACGAGGCGAACCGGGGGAACUGAAACAUCUAAGUACCCCGAGGAAAAGAAAUCAACCGAGAUUCCCCCAGUAGCGGCGAGCGAACGGGGAGCAGCCCAGAGUCUGAAUCAGCUUGUGUGUUAGUGGAACGGUCUGGAAAGUCCGACGGUACAGGGUGAUAGUCCCGUACACCAAAAUGCACAGGUUGUGAACUCGAAGAGUAGGGCGGGACACGUGGUAUCCUGUCUGAAUAUGGGGGGACCAUCCUCCAAGGCUAAAUACUCCUGACUGACCGAUAGUGAACCAGUACCGUGAGGGAAAGGCGAAAAGAACCCCGGCGAGGGGAGUGAAAAAGAACCUGAAACCGUGUACGUACAAGCAGUGGGAGCACCUUCGGGUGUGACUGCGUACCUUUUGUAUAAUGGGUCAGCGACUUAUAUUCUGUAGCAAGGUUAACCGUAUAGGGGAGCCGCAGGGAAACCGAGUCUUAACUGGGCGUUAAGUUGCAGGGUAUAGACCCGAAACCCGGUGAUCUAGCCAUGGGCAGGUUGAAGGUUGGGUAACACUAACUGGAGGACCGAACCGACUAAUGUUGAAAAAUUAGCGGAUGACUUGUGGCUGGGGGUGAAAGGCCAAUCAAACCGGGAGAUAGCUGGUUCUCCCCGAAAGCUAUUUAGGUAGCGCCUCGUGAACUCAUCUUCGGGGGUAGAGCACUGUUUCGGCUAGGGGGUCAUCCCGACUUACCAACCCGAUGCAAACUACGAAUACCGAAGAAUGUUAUCACGGGAGACACACGGCGGGUGCUAACGUCCGUCGUGAAGAGGGAAACAACCCAGACCGCCAGCUAAGGUCCCAAAGUCAUGGUUAAGUGGGAAACGAUGUGGGAAGGCACAGACAGCCAGGAUGUUGGCUUAGAAGCAGCCAUCAUUUAAAGAAAGCGUAAUAGCUCACUGGUCGAGUCGGCCUGCGCGGAAGAUGUAACGGGGCUAAACCAUGCACCGAAGCUGCGGCAGCGACACUAUGUGUUGUUGGGUAGGGGAGCGUUCUGUAAGCCUGCGAAGGUGUGCUGUGAGGCAUGCUGGAGGUAUCAGAAGUGCGAAUGCUGACAUAAGUAACGAUAAAGCGGGUGAAAAGCCCGCUCGCCGGAAGACCAAGGGUUCCUGUCCAACGUUAAUCGGGGCAGGGUGAGUCGACCCCUAAGGCGAGGCCGAAAGGCGUAGUCGAUGGGAAACAGGUUAAUAUUCCUGUACUUGGUGUUACUGCGAAGGGGGGACGGAGAAGGCUAUGUUAGCCGGGCGACGGUUGUCCCGGUUUAAGCAUGUAGGCUGGUUGUCCAGGCAAAUCCGGAUAAUCAAGGCUGAGGUGUGAUGACGAGGCACUACGGUGCUGAAGUAACAAAUGCCCUGCUUCCAGGAAAAGCCUCUAAGCAUCAGGUAACAUUAAAUCGUACCCCAAACCGACACAGGUGGUCAGGUAGAGAAUACCAAGGCGCUUGAGAGAACUCGGGUGAAGGAACUAGGCAAAAUGGUGCCGUAACUUCGGGAGAAGGCACGCUGGUGUGUAGGUGAAGUCCCUGCGGAUGGAGCUGAGACCAGUCGAAGAUACCAGCUGGCUGCAACUGUUUAUUAAAAACACAGCACUGUGCAAACACGAAAGUGGACGUAUACGGUGUGACGCCUGCCCGGUGCCGGAAGGUUAAUUGAUGGGGUUAUCCGUAAGGAGAAGCUCUUGAUCGAAGCCCCGGUAAACGGCGGCCGUAACUAUAACGGUCCUAAGGUAGCGAAAUUCCUUGUCGGGUAAGUUCCGACCUGCACGAAUGGCGUAAUGAUGGCCAGGCUGUCUCCACCCGAGACUCAGUGAAAUUGAACUCGCUGUGAAGAUGCAGUGUACCCGCGGCAAGACGGAAAGACCCCGUGAACCUUUACUAUAGCUUGACACUGAACAUUGAGCCUUGAUGUGUAGGAUAGGUGGGAGGCUUUGAAGCGUGGACGCCAGUCUGCGUGGAGCCAACCUUGAAAUACCACCCUUUAAUGUUUGAUGUUCUAACGUUGGCCCCUUACCGGGGUUGCGGACAGUGUCUGGUGGGUAGUUUGACUGGGGCGGUCUCCUCCCAAAGCGUAACGGAGGAGCACGAAGGUUAGCUAAUCCUGGUCGGACAUCAGGAGGUUAGUGCAAUGGCAUAAGCUAGCUUGACUGCGAGCGUGACGGCGCGAGCAGGUGCGAAAGCAGGUCAUAGUGAUCCGGUGGUUCUGAAUGGAAGGGCCAUCGCUCAACGGAUAAAAGGUACUCCGGGGAUAACAGGCUGAUACCGCCCAAGAGUUCAUAUCGACGGCGGUGUUUGGCACCUCGAUGUCGGCUCAUCACAUCCUGGGGCUGAAGUAGGUCCCAAGGGUAUGGCUGUUCGCCAUUUAAAGUGGUACGCGAGCUGGGUUUAGAACGUCGUGAGACAGUUCGGUCCCUAUCUGCCGUGGGCGCUGGAGAAUUGAGGGGGGCUGCUCCUAGUACGAGAGGACCGGAGUGGACGCAUCACUGGUGUUCGGGUUGUCAUGCCAAUGGCACUGCCCGGUAGCUAAAUGCGGAAGAGAUAAGUGCUGAAAGCAUCUAAGCACGAAACUUGCCCCGAGAUGAGUUCUCCCUGAGACUUUAAGUCUCCUGAAGGAACGUUGAAGACGACGACGUUGAUAGGCCGGGUGUGUAAGCGCAGCGAUGCGUUGAGCUAACCGGUACUAAUGAACCGUGAGGCUUAACCUU
rnacentral:rRNA from 1 species